CGCACAACUCGCCGCGAGGCGCCUUCCGGUGGCGCGGCGGGGUCGGUUGCCUCCUCGCGACGGCUGCGCCGGGAUGUUCCGGGGCGGUGGGGUCGCCUGCCCAAUGUCGGGUGCGCGAGUGACGGGUGGAAGCUGGAUUUGUGCGCGUUCUUCAAUGCUCCAAAGGGAGGAGGGAGCCUCCGAGAGUCCACGUGGGGCCGGUGGGAUUCGCAGGGUCCGUUUUCUAAACAUUGGGUGUCCUCGAACCUGGGGGCGCGGGCUGUGUCCGCCCCCAGCAGGGAUGACCAUGCCUGGGUCAGUGGCUGCAUAAAUAAAUAAACGAAUGGGGAGGAAAUUGAUAAAAUAUUAAAAGAGUGUUGUUUCAGAGUUUUUACUAUGUCACCUCUUACAGAUUUAUGAGAGUUUGUUGUUUUUUGGAGAAGAGGGGUCUCCCUAUGUUACCCAGGCUGGUCUCAAACUCCUGGGCUCAAUCCAUCCGUCCGCCUCAGCCUCCUGAAGUGCUAGGAUUACAGGCGUGAGCCAUGGUGCCCGGCCUGUUGAUGAGAUUCUACGUGAAAUAUAUUGGGCGUUACCUAAGCACUCAGUCAGUGGUAGUUCUUAUAGUUGUUGCUUAAAAACAGAAAGAAAUGUCAUACCGUGUUCUAAAAGGAUUUGAGAAAGGUUUGCAAAGACUAAAAAGCAAGUGGCAGGGAAAAAUAACAUACGCAAACUUCCUCCUGACUUUUUCUGCCAUUUUAUAGCAAAGGCUCAGAAUUGCAUUGCCAUUGUCGGUUGUUUCGGUAAAAUUAGUGUUCCUCAAGUUAUCUACUCCAGGGACAUUUUUUUUUUCUUGAGACAGGGUCUUACUCUGUUGCCCAGGCUCGAGUGCAGUGGCACAGCCAUGACUCACUGCAGCCUCAGCCUCCGGGGUCAAGUGAUUCUCCUGCUUCAGUCUCCCGAGUAGCCGGGAUUACAGGCGCGAGCCUCCAUGCCCAGCUAAUUUUUGUAUUAAUGUACUUUAUAGGAGACAGGGUUUUGCCAUGUUACCCAGGCUGGUUUCGAACUCCUGGCUUCAAGUAAUCCUCCCACCUUAGCCUCCCAAAGUGCUGAGAUUACAGGCAUGAGUCACCACACCCAGCUCAGCAAUAUCCUUUAUUAUUUUAUUUUUUAUUUUUGUAGAAACGAGUCUCACUGUAUUGCGCAGGCUGGUUUCAAACGCCUGGCCUCAAGCAAUCCUCCCACCUCAGCCUCCCAAAGUGCUCGGAUUACAGGUCUGAGCCACCGCUGCCAGCGCAUCUUAAAUACAGUCAUGCAUCGCUUGGGAAAGGGGAUACCUUCUGAGAAAUACAUUGUUA
rnacentral:lncRNA from 1 species